rnacentral:lncRNA from 1 species
AUAUUGAUUGGACAUUCUUUCCAUAUAAAUUAAUUAAAUAUUAGUAAACAAUAUCGCUUUGGGUGGUGUUUGAUAAAUGUUCGAUGCUCCGCCCUAACUCACUCGAGCUGUUGGAUUCGUCCCUGAUUACUGCAUAUACAUCUGUGUGGUUGCCUAAUUUUGUUUUAUAAUCAUAUGUUACAUUUCAAUUUGUUUGAUAUGUGUGUUUUCAUGAACUUGAGGUAAUGUGAUUAAUUGAUGUGAUUGUUUGAAUGCAUGUGGGUUAGAAUGCAUUAGCAGUGAGUUGUAUGUCUUUUGGUAAGGUGGAGUAUAGAUUCUUAGGGAUACAUUUUAGUUUGUACCGAGGAUGUGGAAUGUGACAUUUGGAUCACGAUUAGAGAUGUGACCAAAUGUCUAGAGUCUUUUAUCUGUGAAAAAGAACUUGUACAAAUGGAGUGUGAG